rnacentral:lncRNA from 1 species
GUGCCUUGUGAAAGUCGGAUGUCGGCUGCCACCUCCGACAGUGAAUCGGUGAUAUGGGUUCGGCCGCUCGACUGGUUGGAAACAAUAUUGGCCUAUUUGGUCGACGUUCCUUUGGUCGAAUAUUGUCGGCAGUCAUUGUCGGAGUCGUCUGUCCGUCCGAUGGGUAGAGUCGGACGUCGGUCGGACUGUUCCGAGGAUAAGUCGGCG